UACGGAGGGGGCAAGCGUUGUUCGGAAUUACUGGGCGUAAAGGGCGCGCAGGCGGUCGUACAAGUCGCGUGUGAAAGCCCCCGGCUCAACUGGGGAGGGUCACGCGAUACUGUUCGACUCGAAGGCAGGAGAGGGAAGCAGAAUUCCCGGUGUAGUGGUGAAAUGCGUAGAUAUCGGGAGGAAUACCAGUGGCGAAGGCGGCUUCCUGGCCUGUUCUUGACGCUGAGGCGCGAAAGCUAGGGUAGCAAACGGG
rnacentral:rRNA from 1 species